AAUUCUUAGCAAAAUCAAGACCAGCAUAAUUUUUUUUAUUUCUUAUAUGUACGAGAACUAUGAGGAUAUAAAAUGAACACUUUAUCAUACUAGCAUAUCAAUACCGGAAAUCUGACUUUCAUUGAUCAAAAACAAAAGUUGUACAUUUUAGGUUAUUAAAGAUUAAAUGGGUAUAAUCCUGCAUGCGGUUGUAGUUCUGUGACUGCUAUUAAAGUAUUCUCAGAGUUGGUGCUAUUCAAUAUCUUCUCUUAGACUAGAUCAUACAUGUCAUAUCAGUAGUCAAACCUACCGAUUGGGAUCUUUCCAGGUCUUGAUUUAGACAAUGGUUAUUUUAUUUCGUUGGACACUUAAAUUCGUGGAUAAAGUCAUCCACGAAAACCACGAAAAUUGGUACCCCACGAAUAAAAGUACUUUCACAGUAUACAAAAUGUA
rnacentral:lncRNA from 1 species